rnacentral:rRNA from 1 species
AACGAACGCUGGCGGCAGGCUUAACACAUGCAAGUCGGGCGCCCCGCCAGGGGAGCGGCAGACGGGUGAGUAACGCGUGGGAACGUACCUUUUGGUUCGGAACAACUCCGGGAAACUGGAGCUAAUACCGGAUAAGCCCUAACGGGGAAAGAUUUAUCGCCGAAAGAUCGGCCCGCGUCUGAUUAGCUAGUUGGUGAGGUAACGGCUCACCAAGGCGACGAUCAGUAGCUGGUCUGAGAGGAUGAUCAGCCACACUGGGACUGAGACACGGCCCAGACUCCUACGGGAGGCAGCAGUGGGGAAUAUUGGACAAUGGGCGCAAGCCUGAUCCAGCCAUGCCGCGUGAGUGAUGAAGGCCUUAGGGUUGUAAAGCUCUUUUGUCCGGGAAGAUAAUGACGGUACCGGAAGAAUAAGCCCCGGCUAACUUCGUG